rnacentral:rRNA from 1 species
AGGACGAACGCUGGCGGCGUGCUUAACACAUGCAAGUGGAGCGACGAACCAGGGCUUGCCCUGGGGCAGAGCCGCGAACGGGUGAGUAACACGUGGGUUACCUGCCUCGAUGACCGGGACAACCCGAGGAAACUCGGGCUAAUACCGGAUGUGCCCGCAAGGGGAAAGGAAGCUUCGGCCUCCGCAUCGAGAUGGGCCCGCGGCCCAUUAGCUUGUUGGUGAGGUAACGGCUCACCAAGGCUUCGAUGGGUAGCUGGUCUGAGAGGACGAUCAGCCACACUGGGACUGAGACACGGCCCAGACUCCUACGGGAGGCAGCAGUGGGGAAUCUUGCGCAAUGCGCGAAAGCGUGACGCAGCAACGCCGCGUGGGGGAAGAAGGCUUUCGGGUUGUAAACCCCUUUCAGUUGGGACGAAGCUUCGUCGGUGAAUAGCCGGCCGGAGUGACGGUACCUUCACAAGAAGCACCGGCUAACGUACGCGCCAGCAGCCGCGGU